rnacentral:rRNA from 1 species
UCCGGUGAGAGUGAACCAGCGGAGGGAUCAUUACCGAGUUUACAACUCCCAAACCCCUGUGAACAUACCACUUGUUGCCUCGGCGGAUCAGCCCGCUCCCGGUAAAACGGGACGGCCCGCCAGAGGACCCCUAAACUCUGUUUCUAUAUGUAACUUCUGAGUAAAACCAUAAAUAAAUCAAAACUUUCAACAACGGAUCUCUUGGUUCUGGCAUCGAUGAAGAACGCAGCAAAAUGCGAUAAGUAAUGUGAAUUGCAGAAUUCAGUGAAUCAUCGAAUCUUUGAACGCACAUUGCGCCCGCCAGUAUUCUGGCGGGCAUGCCUGUUCGAGCGUCAUUUCAACCCUCAAGCACAGCUUGGUGUUGGGACUCGCGUUAAUUCGCGUUCCCCAAAUUGAUUGGCGGUCACGUCGAGCUUCCAUAGCGUAGUAGUAAAACCCUCGUUACUGGUAAUCGUCGCGGCCACGCCGUUAAACCCCAACUUCUGAAUGUUGACCUCGGAUCAGGUAGGAAUACCCGCUGAACUUAAGCAUAUCAAUAAGCGAAGGAAAA